rnacentral:rRNA from 1 species
GACGAACGCUGGCGGCGUGCCUAAUACAUGCCAGUAGAACGCACAGUUUAUACCGUAGCUUGCUACACCAUAGACUGUGAGUUGCGAACGGGUGAGUAACGCGUAGGUAACCUGCCUGGUAGCGGGGGAUAACUAUUGGAAACGAUAGCUAAUACCGCAUAAUAUUAAUUAUUGCAUGAUAAUUAAUUGAAAGGUGCAAUUGCACCACUACCAGAUGGACCUGCGUUGUAUUAGCUAGUAGGUGAGGUAACGGCUCACCUAGGCGACGAUACAUAGCCGACCUGAGAGGGUGAUCGGCCACACUGGGACGGAGACACGGCCCAGACUCCUACGGGAGGCAGCAGUAGGGAAUCUUCGGCAAUGGACGAAAGUCUGACCGAGCAACGCCGCGUGAGUGAAGAAGGGUUUCGGAUCGUAAAGCUCGGUUGUAAGAGAAGAACGGGUGUGAGAGUGGAAAGUUCACACUGUGACGGUAUCUUAACAGAAAGGGACGGCUAACUACGUG